CCUACGGGAGGCAGCAGUGAGGAAUAUUGGUCAAUGGGCGCGAGACUGAACCAGCCAAGUAGCGUGAAGGAUGACUGCCCUGCGGGUUGUAAACUUCUUUUAUCAAGGAAUAAAGUGAGGCACGUGUGCCCUUUUGUAUGUACUUUAUGAAUAAGGAUCGGCUAACUCCGUGCCAGCAGCCGCGGUAAUACGGAGGAUCCGAGCGUUAUCCGGAUUUAUUGGGUUUAAAGGGAGCGUAGAUGGGUUGUUAAGUCAGUUGUGAAAGUUUGGGGCUCAACCGUAAAAUUGCAAUUGAUACUGGCAGUCUCGAGGACAGUUGAGGUAGGCGGAAUUCGGGGUGUAGCGGUGAAAUGCUUAGAUAUCACGAAGAACUCCGAUUGCGAAGGCAGCUUACUAAACUGCCACUGACAUUGAGGCUCGAAAGUGUGGGUAUCAAACAGGAUUAGAUACCCGGGUAGUC
rnacentral:rRNA from 1 species